UACGGAGGGUGCAAGCUUUAAUCGUAAUUACUGGUCGUAAAUCGCACGCAUGCGGUCUGUCAAGUCGGAUGUGAAAUCCCCGGGCUCAACCUGGGAACUGCAUCCGAAACUGGCAGGCUAGAGUCUUGUCUAGGGGGGUAGAAUUCCAGUUGUAGCGGUGAAAUGCGUAGAGAUCUGGAGGAAUACCGGUGGCGAAGGCGGCCCCCUGGACAAAGACUGACGCUCAGGUGCGAAAGCGUGGGGAGCAAACAGG
rnacentral:misc_RNA from 1 species